AUAAUGAUACUUCCGCAAAGCGGGCCGCGCGAAGGGGCCGGUGAGAUUCCGAUGA
ncrna:unclassified sequences pemK RNA